rnacentral:lncRNA from 1 species
AAGGAUGCCAGGGGCGUAUCGAUCGAGGACACAGCUGGACCGUAUACCGAGGGAGAAGCCGUGCGACUGACCUGCGAAAUAGAAACGUGCGACCACGACGUGACGCUCACGUGGUACCAGAACGGCACGCAGCUGAGGACAGGACCGGGGAACGGUGGCGACAACCGAGGGUGGCUGGAAGAAUCUAGUCACUGUGGGCCCCCUGAGUCGCCGUGAUCUGCACUCGAACAUCACCUGCCUUGCUGUCAGCAACGUCUCGCUACCCGAAUCGGCCACAGUGCUUCUCGACCUAUACCUGGCACCAACGGCAGUUACCAUCUGGAGUUGGCCGGCGCAGCAGACUGACGCCCCUUCAGGGUGGAUCGGCACGGCUACGCAGCGCGCGCCACCAAAUA